GCAAUUCAGAAAAACACAUAGAAGAAGCUAAAGUUUUGAUGAUGUAAAACUUCAAAAUGAAGAGCUUGGUGAUUUACGAUUCUUUCUUGGAGUGGAGAUUGAUAGGCGCAAUAAUCGCCUCACAUUGACACAACAGAAAUACACGUUAGAUCUACUGAAAAAGUCAGGUAUGUCUGAUUGUAAGCCUGUUGGAACUCCUAGUGUUCUAAAUCAAAGACUAAGUGCUCAGGAUGGGGAGUUAUAUGAAGAUCCUACGCAAUAUCGAAGUAUUGUUGGGGCACUUUAAUAUCUUACAUUUACUAGACCAAAUAUUAUAUAUGUUGUGAAUCAAGUAUCUCAAUUUAUGCAUGCACCUAGAGAUACUCACAUGGAUGCUAUCAAAAGAAUAUUAAGAUAUCUUAAAGGGAUAGGAGAUGACUUGGUUUAUGGUAAGAAUGAAAAUAUAACUACAUGACAUCAACUUAUGACAUUCACAAAUGCAGAUUGGGCUGGAGACCCCGAUCAAAGAAAGUCCAUUUCUGGUUUUUGUAUUUUCAUUGGACGUAAUCUUGUGUCUUGGAGUUGUCGAAAGCAAAAGGCAGUAGCAAGAUCCAGCACUGAAGCUGAAUACAUAUGCAUGGUUGUAGGUACUGUUGAAGUUACAUGGGUUAGACAUUUGCUAGAAGGCAUUGGAGAAAAGAUUAAAACCUCAAUGUUAAUGUGUGAUAAUCAAAGCGCUAUUAACAUUGUCUUUAAUCCUAUACAACAUGGUCGAACAAAGCACAUUGAGAUUGAUCAACACUUUGUUAGACAAAAGGUGGAAGACAAGGAGAUUCAACCUAUUUAUGUUCGUAUAGAUGAACAAGUUGUAGACUUAUUUACAAAAGGAUUAACGAAGCAACGAUUCUGGUUUCUAAAAGGCAAGUUGUACAUGGUGCAAAACCAUGCACAACUUGAGGGAGGGUGUUAAACUAUAAAUCCUCCACCAACACAUUGAAAGAGGAGUCUCUUAGGAUUCCACAUCCUUGUAAAAUGUGUUAAGAUAUUUAAUGUCCUUGUAACAUGUGAAGAGUUUCUUAGGAUUCUAUGUUGUAGUUAAUAUCCUUGUAAUAUGUGAAGUCUCUUAGGAUUCUAUGUUGUAGUUAAUAUCCUUGUAAUAUGUGAAGUCUCCUAGGAUUCUAUGUUGUAGUUAAUAUCCUUGUAAUAUGUGAAGUCUCCUAGAAUUCUAUGUUGUAGUUAAUAUCCUUGUAAUAUGUGAAGUCUCCUAGGAUUUUAUGAUGUAAUUAAUGUCCUAGGAUUCUACGAUUGCAGACUCUUAGAAUUCUGGAAAUGAGAUUAUAAAUAGAGGCCGUGCAAACCAUUUUGGCUACGGCUUCUUCUCCUCAGCUUUUUCUUGUUUUCAUUCUCUCUCUCUCUCUCUCUCUCUCUCUAUCUAUCUAUCUUUCUGCGUGAGUGCUAUUUUCUGGUUACAGAUAUUGGUGCUAGAUUUCUAUCAAAAGGAUGAUGCAACAAGAUGAUGAAUGCAAUCUUGAGGAACUAGUGGUCCUUCAGCUAUGGUCAUGCUUGAUACCAAAAAGAAUCCUGCAAUCAAUUGACUUGGUAAGAUGUGGAUCCCAUAGAAAAUAACAAAUGUGGUGGUUGAUAGUUAACAGGAAAAUUGAAAAAAGCUCAUGUGAAAUCUCUUGCCUCUAUUACUUGUGAGAAAGCACACGACUUCAUCAUUAUGGCGAGAGAUGCUCUUUUUUACAUUUCACCCUUAACUGGGUGUAGAUGUCAGGCCGGGGUCAGGUAGCCUGAGUUAAAGACCCUGUAGAAUGCUCUCAUUUAAAAGCUUAACAAAUUUUCAUCAGGCACACCAUCUACAUGAAUCUACGAGAGAGAGCGAGAGAGAGAGAGAGAGAGAGAGAGAGAGAGUAGCUUUGCCCUUAGAACUUGGAUAGAGGUCACCUCUUCAUGAGGGAGACAGUAAAAACAGCUUUCCUGCUUUCAAAUUUAUGAAGUUAUAAAGUUCAUUGUCUUUUAAAUUUUUGUGGAUGCUGGCACUUUGUCUACUCCUAAUAAUAACUUCCCCCAUCGACCUGGCAUUGCUUGCAAGUCACCUAUUACCAUGUGAACGAAGUCUUUUAUCUAUUCUCAGAUUCUCAUCAUUUGCUCGAGAGGUUGAAGGUCUUGGAGGUUGUUAACUGUUUAGAUCUGGUUGAGUCUCCUAAUUUUGCUCAUCUCCCAAGCCUAGUGAAGUUAGCUUUAGAUUUUUGCAUUAAUUUUGAGGAAAUCAAUGAAUCAAUUGAACAUCUCAAGCAAUUGGAGUCACUGAGAAUUUAUCGUGCUCCUCUAAAGAAGCUACCCAGCAACAUUUGUCAAUUGAGUUCCCUACAAUCCCUCAAUCUGCGAUCUUGUAGAAGAAUGUCCAGUUUGCCAGAGCAAUUAGGAAAUUUGACAGCUCUAAGAGUGCUCAUCCUUGGUAAAUGUGAGUCGCUAACAGAAGUUCCUUAUUCUGUCGGUGAUCUCAACCAAUUACAGCACCGCAGUCUUAAUCAAUGUAGGCAUCUUCAAUCUGUGCCCCAUCUCCCAUCCUCUUUAACAAUUUUUGACAUCUCUAACUGUUCUGCUAUAAAAAGAAUUCCAGAUAUUUCAAACCUAAAGAACUUAAAGAGACUCGUGCUUGAAGGUCUUGGGUUCUUGGUAAAAUUUGAUGAACCAAUUGGGCACCUUAAGGAACUAGAAUUCUUGAGCAUGAGAAACUGUAAGAAUCUACAGGAACUUGGCAGCACCAUUUGUCAAUUGAGUUCCAUACAAACUCUCAACCUUCAAGAUUGCAAAGACAUUUCUGCUUUGCCAGAGAAAAUGGGUGAUUUGGCAUCUCUAAGGGAACUCAACCUUAAGAAUUGUGCUUCAUUAAGUGUGGUUCCUAAUUCAGUAGAAAAACUCAACCAACUACAGAUCCUCAGCAUUGAUGCAUGUCGGAAUCUUAAACAUUUACCCCAACUUCCAUCCUCUUUGCACAUUCUUCAUGCCAGCAACUGUGAUAAUCUGAAAAUUGUUACCGACGUUUCAUCCCUAGAAGAUCUAAGAAUACUAAACCUGGAUAGAUGUUGGAAUGUUGUCGAUGUUCCUGGCCUAGAAAAUUUGAAGUCACUGGAAUAUUUAGACCUACACUCUUGUGAAAGCUUUGGUCAGAUUAUGGAAGGAGAAUCUUACAGGUACAAUUCUUGUUGCUCAAUAUCGUGAUGGAAAAUAGAAACAGAUUGGUUCAUUUGUUCCUUUCCUUUAUUGUAUUUCUUAAUUUUAACGCACAAGGUUGUGUCCUUUCUUUAUUUGAAAGCAGGCUAAAUUUCAACAUUUGAUUUCAUGCACCAUUCCUGGAAUCCAUGAGGGUCAGUACCUGCUGUUUCUCCUUCCUAAAAAUGUCCAAGUCUGUAAAGUUGGCUUCUCUUUAGUUGAAGAAUAUUGCAUUGAAAUCCCAAAAGUUUCAUGGUUCCAUCGCUUAAUGUCCCCCUCCAAGUUGUUGCAGAUAGACUCGAGGUUGUCUUUGAAACAAGAAGGUGUGCUACUCAUAAUCCUUCUCCGCUUUUUGAAGACGAAUACGACUGCUAUUUAAUUUAUUUGAAGGAUGAUGAGGAGAUGGAACGGUACUUAAGUGAUGGAUACAGGAUGAUCCAGGUUCCAACAUUCAUAAAUGGUGUUUACAAACUGAAAGGUGGCCACAUCACCUUUCGAAAGGGUGGUAACAGAUUUGAAGCUUAGGUGUCGACUGGGCGUUGGUGUUGCUGAUCGGCACAGAGUCAAGGACAUGCAUGCUCAAGUCCUGCUUGGUGGUUGUCUUAAAAGUUGUUAGAAGCGAUAUUCGUAGCCUAGGAUUCACCCACUUCUUUAAUCAGAUAUUUCAAGAGUUUCCCCUCACAAUCACAAAGUUUGGCUGAGCGAACCAUCAUUUACCAGCGAGGUUUGAGGAAGAAACAACCCAUUAUCGCCGCAAUUGGGAAUACUAACCCAACUUUUUACGACCGGCCAGUUGCCUGAGAUUUUUAUUCUUCGAGAUUUUCUCGUCGAAAAGUGAGCAAGAGAGAAGAUGAAGGCUUCACCUAAGUUGCAUGAAGACCGGAUUCCUCUCCUCAAAGCAAGUUUCUAGUGGUAAUCUUAGGGUUUCUAGAGGGAGGUAUACUGUACACAUAAAAGAGGAGCAGUUUGUUUCAGUCAUCAUAGUGACCUCAAUAUGCCACCAUGAUUCAUCCAGUAUACUUGCCUUUUGGCCAGACCAAAUGAAAUUCUUUCUAUGAAUGCUUUCAUUUUUCUUUUUUAUGAUGAAACCUUAUGUUGUUCAUGUAAAUCCUGAUUUUAUCUCUGUAUUACUAAGGUUUUCUUUUAUGCAUAUUUGAA